AGAACGAACGCUGGCGGCAGGCUUAACACAUGCAAGUCGAGCGCCCCGCAAGGGGAGCGGCAGACGGGUGAGUAACGCGUGGGAACAUACCCUCCGGUUCGGAAUAGCCCAGGGAAACUUGGAUUAAUACCGGAUACGGCCUAGCGGCGAAAGAUUCAUCGCCGGAGGAUUGGCCCGCGUUCGAUUAGCUAGUUGGUGAGGUAACGGCUCACCAAGGCGACGAUCGAUAGCUGGUCUGAGAGGAUGAUCAGCCACAUUGGGACUGAGACACGGCCCAAACUCCUACGGGAGGCAGCAGUGGGGAAUAUUGGACAAUGGGCGCAAGCCUGAUCCAGCCAUGCCGCGUGAGUGAUGACGGCCUUAGGGUUGUAAAGCUCUUUCGCUAGGGACGAUAAUGACGGUACCUAGACAAGAAGCCCCGGCUAACUUCGUGCCAGCAGCCGC
rnacentral:rRNA from 1 species